ACGUAUGGGGCGAGCGUUGUUCGGAAUCAUUGGGCGUAAAGGGCGCGCAGGCGGUUAUACAAGCCUGGUGUGAAAGACCGCAGCUUAACUGCGGGAGCGCGCUGGGAACUGUAUGACUAGAGUUCAAGAGGGGAAGCUGGAAUUCCUGGUGUAGGGGUGAAAUCUGUAGAUAUCAGGAAGAACAUCAGUGGCGAAGGCGAGCUUCUGGCUAUGAACUGACGCUGAGGCGCGAAAGCGUGGGGAGCGAACAGG
rnacentral:rRNA from 1 species